rnacentral:lncRNA from 10 species
AUGACAUAAAAAUUUUCUAAAAUGACAAAAUUACCAGAACUAAAUUAUGAAUAAAAUUUUAAAAACUGAAUGGUAAAUAUGUUUCAUUAGUCAUCUAAAACCUUUCUACAAAGAAAAUUCUAGGGCCUUAUUGGUGAAUUCUGUCAAGUUUUUCAAAAAGAAGUAAUGUAAAAUUUCAAAAACACUUUUAGAACUUCAGGAGAGAAUCUUUCCCAACUCAUUCUAUGAAGCACUGGUCUCAAACAAAAAGGCACUGAAGGAAAAUAAAACAAGGAUCAACAUAUUUAAUGAACAUAGAUGCCAAAGUCCUUACAAAUUAUUGGCAAAUCAAGCUUAGCAACACAUCAAAACAGUUAUACAUGAUGAUCUUGUAGAUUUUUUUACCAGAAAUUAAAGGUUGAUUUACCAUCUAAAACUCAAUUAAUAUUAUAUUUUAUAUUUCUAGAUUAAAGGAUAAAAAACAACUGAUCACCUCAAAAGACAGAAAAAAAGCCAUCAAGAACAUUCAGCAUUAAUCCAUGAUUAAAAAUCUCAACAAACUGGUAACAUAAGGGAUUUUCUCAACUGGAUAUAAAAAAAAAAAUCUCCCAAGUAAAACCUGUAUCUAACAUCACGCUUAAAAGAGAUAAAACGACUUAUUUCCUCCUAACAUCAGAAAAAGGCAAGGAUGUACUCUCACCAUUUCUCUUCUAUUCAGCAUUUUGAUAGAGUUUGACAGGGGUAAUGAAACACACAAAUAAAAAAAGAAGUCAAAGGCAUCCUAAUUGGAAAGAAAAAUUUAAAGUCUAUUUUUUCGAAAAUUACAUGAUUGAAUAUUUAAAUGUCAUAAGGAAUCCACGAUAAAAGUAUUAGAACAAAUGAAGUUUUUGAAGGUCUCAGGAAUUAAAAUAAAUAUUUUUUUUAAAUCAGUUAUUUAAUAUUUCUGUAUACCAUCCAGAACCAUUCCAAAUGUGAGAUAAAGAAAAUAAUUUCACUCAAAAUAGCAUUUCAAAGAAAAAUUAAAUUAUAAAUAAAUUUAACAAAAGUACAAGAUUUAUAUGCUAAAAGCUAUACGUUGCUGAGAUAAAUUGGCAAGACCUAAUUAGAUGGAGAAAUUUUCCAUGUCGGUGGAUUUGAAAACAAUAUUAUGAAGAUGGCAAUUCUCCCAAAUUGAUCUAUAGUAUCAAUGAAAUUAGUAUCAAAAUCUCAGUGACACAUUUGUUAAAAUUACAAAUUACUUCUAAAGUUUAUAUGCAAAUAUAAAAACAAGGUAGACAAAUCAAUCUGGAAAAGAAGAACAAGACUGUGUUAUUUACAUAACCAGUGUCAACAUACUGUAAAGUUAGUAUUUUAGUGUGCUGUUGGUAUAAACAUGGGUACAUAGAACAAUGAUUAUUCAUGAGAUUAUUUAAGGAGAAAAAUGUCUGGAUAAUUGAAACAAACAAAAUAUAAUUAAAGAUUAGUAUAAGAAUAUAAUCACUCAACCUUCAACACCUAAGGUUCCCCUAAAAUUAAAAAGGUAGGGAGGUCAAGGGAAUAGAAGGAGGAGGAGAGAACAGGAAUGAUGAGGACAUAGGGAAACUGUCAGUCACUUUCCAUGCAAGCAGAGAACCAUGAAGCUCUGCAAUUAAGUUUUCACCAAAAAGACUAAAGUGGAAACAAUGGUAACAGCUCUCAAGAACACACUUUAAAAGACAAAGAACCACGUUAGGUUCUUCACCUUCUAAACUUGGAGAACCCUUUCAUGUUAGGACAGGCUCAGUUCCUUGUGUUAUACCAACAAAACGAAAUUCAUAAGAAAUAGAAAGAAAACUGAGGAAAAAGAGCUGCUCAAAGAGAGUACUCCUUCUACUUAUAAAAAGCCUCAGGUAUGUUCUUCAGGAGAUAUUCCAGAAGGCAUCGUUAUCAUAGGAGAUGAUAAUUCCUUCAAUGUUAUUGACUCUGAAGAUCUUCCAGCGAAACAAGAUAUGGAACCAGAAGAUAUUGAUGAUCCUGACCCUUUGUAGGCCCAGGCUAACGUAUGUGUUUAUGUCUUAGUUUUUAACUAAAAAGAAUUUUAAAAUGAAUACAUAAAGAUUUUAAACACAGAAAAAAGCUUGUAGAAUAAGGAUAGGAAGAAAAAAAAUGUUUUUAUGUAACUGUGCAAUGUGUUUGUUUCCAGCUGUUAUGAGUCAAGAAGUUUUAAAAAAGCUUAAGUGAAAAAGUCACAGGAAGCUAAGGUUAACUUACUAUUGAAGAAUUUUUCUAUAAAUUUCAUAUAGCCUAAAGGUACAGUGUUUAUACUAUCUACAGUAGAGUACAGUAAUAUCCUAUGACUUCACAUUUACUCACCAGACACUCACUCACUCACUCAUGACAACCUCCAGUCCUGUAAGCUCCCUUCAUGGUAAUUGCCCUAUACAGGUAUUCCACCUUUUGUCUUUUACACCAUAUUGUAUUGUAACUUUCCCAUGUUUAGAUAUAUAAAUACUUACAAUUGUGUUAAAAUUCCCAAUAGUAUUUGGUACAGUAACAUGCUGUACAGGUUUGUAGCCUAGAAGCAAUAGGCUGUACCAUACAGCCUAGGUAUGAACAACAAAGUGCCCUAAGGACACAUUUCUCAGAAUGUAUCUUUGUCAUUAAGUGAUGCAUGCAUAUAGUUCCAUUAUUGCACAAAUAAUGUUAAUUACUCCUUUAAAAAAUUUCAUAGAUGAUAGAUUAACAUGCAUAGCGAUAGCUAUAGAUAUUUACAUAUAUUAUUUUUGUGUAUAUGUGAAAACACUAUUUGUUUAUCAGCAUUAACAAUAAAGCAUGAGGCUUGAAAGUUACUACCAAGAUAUUUAUACAGUAGGAAACCCAGGAUAGUGGAAAAAUGUAAAAAUAAAAGAUGUAAGAAGGGUCCAAGAUAUCACUUGAGCUAAACAGAGAUCCUACCUCAAUGACAGAAAUAUCUCCAAGGAAUAUGCCCCCUGAUUUACCCCAUGCUUCCUCUCAGAUCAUUUAAACAAGAGCCCAGCUAGGUUGUCUGCUUCCUUUUGAAAUUAUAUCUGCUUCAGGCAGAGCUAGGCUCAAAGGGACCAAUUACAGUGAAAAGUGUUGGGGGGUGGUUAUUUCCCUUUAAAGUACCCUUUUUAGGCCUUUCCAUACAGUCUUUUUUGGGACUAUAAACCUAGUUGGGCAGACUGUUUUUUCCCUUAUAAUUCCCUAUAGUAACUCAUCCAGUGCUCCCUGUACCAUACCCAGAACUUUCAUAAAUUGUGCUAAUCAAGCUGAGGAUAAAAUGUUCAUUUCUGUGUUUGUACUCCAAAGUGUUUAGUUCAUUUAGUGGAAGUUUAGCUUUAUAAAAGCACCAUAUUUCAAGCAGAGAGGAUUUAGCUCUGAAUUUUUGGGAAGGUUAAUAUCUAUCUAGUUAUCCAGAAAGUUUCACAUGAAGAUCAAUUAACCUAUUUUUUUUCCCCUCAAACUAGGCUUUCCUGUCUUUGGGGAGGUUGACUAUCUUGAAAGCCAGUCAGAAACGUUUUUAUUAAAUAGCUCUACAGUCUAGCAACUUUCACUCUUUGAAAACCUUAGCCAGACAUAUUACUACAGAGGAGACCUUAGGCAAAUAAAUCAAAGAAACCCAGGGUAUACACCCAUUAUCCAUGUUUCAACAGUUCUCUUUCUGACAGAUACAACUCAGGUGAACCUCUCUUUUGUAAUUUCUCCUCUCAAAUUUAACAUGGUUCUGUGAAGUCUGUCACAGAGCAAUUAAAAAGAAAAUCCAAUCACACAAUUCAACUGUAUCUUAAAAUUCCAGCUUGUUCAGCUAAGACAGCUGAGACUUUUAAAUAAGGAAAGAAGAAAAGCUUCCAUAAUGCCCUUUCUAUAUCAUUUUUAUUCAACUAUGCAUGUGUGUAGAGCACAGAAUGACAUUUACACACUUUCACUACUAUAUUAAAGUGUUAGCUAAACAAUAUAAUCACAAGUUUACUGUGUCAAAUACUUUAAUAUUAAGUAAAUUAAAGUUAUAUUUAGAUACAUAUGUUGUUUUAAUUAUAGCUUUUCUCAAGCAACACAAAACUUGAUUGGUUAUUAUUCCAAUUAGUCUAAAUACCUAAGAGGAUCUGGGGCAAGUUCUGUGUUAAUGAAUUAUCACAGCAAGUCUUUUAUUUAUUUGGGAGCUAUUAAUAAAUAUAUACUAGGGAAAAAAGGAAGAAAAUCCAUUCUGUGCUAUAUUAUGAGUCUUACAAAGAGAUCUAGGCUGGAGUUUCUAAAUUCUAAUCCUCAUUUUACUGCUAUUGCUUACAAAAAUAAAAAUCUUUGAGUGAAAGCAGAGAUGACAAUAGAUAGGAAAACAUACUGUUUUUUUUAUUUUGUUUUGUGUUGUUUUGUUUUGAGACAGAGUCCCACUUUGUCACCCAGGCUGGAGUGCAGUGGUGCUAUCUCUGCUCACUGUAACCUCCACCUCCCAGGUUCAAGCGAUUCCGCUGCCUCAGCCUCCUGAGUAUCUGGGAUUACAGGCACACAUCACCAUGCCCGGUUAAUUUUUUUGUAUUUUUAUUAGAGAUUGGGUUUCACCAUGUUGGGCAGGCUGGUCUCGAACUCCUGACCUCACAUGAUCUGCCCUCCUCAGCCUCCCACAAUGCUGAGAUUACAGGCGUGAGCUACUGCACCCGGUGGAUGCUAUUUUAAUAUUCAUUACAUGCCAGAAACUACACGCUGUUUGAUUAAUAUUACAAAUAACCUCCUUAUUUCUUCCUUUUUUUUUUUUUUCCUCACUCUGUGGCCCAGGAUGGAGUGUAGUGGCAGGAUCACAGCUCAACAGUAGCUUUGAACUCCUGCACUCAUGGGAUCCUCUCACCUUACCCUCCUAAGUAGCUGAGAUUACAGGCAGACACCACCACACCCGGCUACUUUUUUAUAUUUUUGUAGAGAUAGUGGUCUAUUUAUGUUGCCUAGACUGUUCUCAAACUCCUGGGCUCAAGCCAUCCUCCCUCUUUGCCUCCCCAAAAGUGCUGGGAUUAUAGAUGUGAGCCACUGUGCCUGGCCUUAUUUCCUCUUAAUCAAACAGAGCAGACAUCUGUAUGUGGGUCAAGUCAAAGUAUCUUUUAUUGGAUCAGUCAUUUCUAAAUGUCUUCUAUUUAUAAAAGCUCAGAUUUUAUCUUCCUAAUAGAAUGCCAAUUCUUAAUUUUUGCACUGGACAUGCAGGCCCCAAAACCAGAGAGGAAAAUAUGAAACUUUUGUGUAAAACAGUCCCGAAGUUUUGGUCAUUCCGGAUCAUCUCCUAGUCUUAAAAAUCUAGAUCUGAGGUUUUAAGAAUCUUAUGGAUACAGGAAUAUCAGAGUAUGUGGAGAACAAAACUGUGAGUCUACAUUUCUAGUGAAAGGGUAGACUAGGAAAAAAGAAAAAAAGAAAGAAAGCUUAUCUGCUUUCUGACCUAAGUAACAAAAAUAGUCACCCCCAAGAAAUCUGUAGCCAGAAGUCUAUCCUGCUGUGUAUUUGAUAUUGAAUUAGCACUCUUUGUAUUGUUGCCCACAAACUCCAAAGCUUGAGAAAGCAGAAAAAGCAGAAAAGCAGAAAAAGCCAUCCCAGGCUUUAAUUUUUCUGUCAAUAUAACAGCUAAAAUAUGCUUUGGAAGUAUACAUUCUCAUCCCAAGUCCUCAUAAAAUUCUCUCAGAUAAUGCUCUAGUGAGCAUGAGUUCACAGGACCAAACUUAAAAAUACAACAGGAAGUUAAUCAAUAUAAGGCAGAGUUUGCAGGAAAAGCAAACAGCAGAACCUGACCUACAACAAAUUCAGAUAUAAAACAAAAGUGGAGUGACAGGUUUAAACUGUUACAAAGAACUUCAUAUUAUGGGGAUGGAGGGAGAGAGAAGAAAAAAUAAUAAUUAGUAUUCAUCCUUACUAAAGAAGUAUCUGUAUUAACAUUUUAAGAGUAUCUAAAAUAAAAAUGAAAUGUAUAUACUUCAAUUUAUUGUCAAGGUUGUGGGGGCAUACAAAUAAAAAUCAAUCAAAAUAUAUAAAGAAAGCAUAGUAUCUAGGUAUAUCAGAUUAAUAUAUUGUAAGUCAUAUGUAAAGAAAGCAGAAAUUAGCAUAUAUGUACAAAACUAUCAUUAAUUAUAAUAAAUACUUAUUGAUUGAACUCAAGAGUUAAAUAGGAAAAUAGGAAAAGGGAUGAUUUUGUUGGAUAAAAUACAAUCCAGCUAUUUGCAAUUUAAAAUCUGCCUGUUCAAGACAUAGGACACAGAAACUUUGCAUGUAAACUAACAGAAGAACGUGACUAAUCAUAACCUAAAAAUCCAUCAAGCAAAAAUAUAAAUAACCAUAAAAAGUAAUGGGCAAAUCCAUAAUCAAUAUAGUUUAAUACAACUCUCAUAAUUGAUGGAUCAAUUUAAAAAAUCAAUAAUAAAGAAGAUUUAAACAAAGUGAUUACAAAUUACUUAAUAGACACAGAUAACCCAGUAGUCAACAGAGAAUACACAUUCUUUUCAAGUAUUUGUGGAAAAGAAAGUAAUAUUUUUAUUAGAUUGAAAGGAAAAGUACUGAAUUUUUAAAAAAUACAAACAACACUCAGACAUAAUUAUCAUUAGAUACCAACACAUAAGCAAAAAUAAUAAAAUAAAUUAAAAAUUAAAAAGCACAAUUCUGAGCAUAAAUCAUGAUGGAUAUCUGAAAAUAUGUAAAUAUAAUGAAAAUGCUAUCUAUAAUUUUUCCUUUAAGUGCUUAUAAGAGGAAAUAAACCUGAAAAUUAAUAGGGUAAUUAUUUCAAAAAAUCAAAAGUACAUAGAAAAGUAUACAAUAAAUAUAAAAUUAAAAUGUAAUGAAAUUGAAGGUAAAAUGCAAUACAUAAGAUUCUUAAAUCUGAAUAUUGGUUAUUUAAAAGAGAAAUUAAUGAAAUAGAUAAACCUAUGACAAUUUUGAUUAAACAAAAUAAAAUAAGUUUCAAAUAAGCAAUAUUAACAGUACAGAAGGGUAAAUAACAGCAGUGUUUUUCAAAAGAUAUAUAAAAAUACAUACACUAUGACUACUUCAACUUGAAAACAUCUCACAUUCUAGAGAAUACACUAGAAAAAUAUAAUUUACAAAAAUUAACCCAAUAAGAAAUAAAAAGCAUUAAUAAGGUCUACAUAUUGAUAAGAUAAAUCACUGCUUAAAUAUCCAAUCCAGAGAGAGAGGAAGAGAAAGAAAGAGAGACAAAGGAAAAGGAAGAAGGGAGAAAAGGAGGAAGGAAGGGAGGGAGAAAAGGAAGGAAGAAAAAUAAAACAUCACACACAGAUGGAAAAAUAAAUGAUUCAUCAUAUAUAAUUGUUCCAAGAACUUGAAAUACAGCAGUCUGUCCUAUCAAUGCAUGAAUCAGUAUAAAUUAUUGUGAUAAAGAUUGGUAAAUGUGGUAAUAUAAUCCAUAAAAUUUUGCCUGGGCUCAUAGGCCACCAGUUAGAUACUACAUUUCUUAUUAUUCCUUUUUUUAACUGUUAUUUUAGGUUUGGGGGUACAUGUGAAGGUUCGUUACAUAGGUAAACAUGUGUCACGGGGGUUUGUUGUACAUAUUACUUUAUCACCCAGGUAUUAAGCCCAGUACCCAAUAGUUAUCUUUUCUGCUCCUUCUCCACCUGCCACCGUAUCUCCUCAAAUAGACCCCAGUGUCUGUUGUUUCCUUCUUUGUGUUGAUAAGUCCUUAUCAUUUAACUCCUACUUAUAAGUGAGAACGUGCAGUAUUUGGUUUUUGUUCCUGAAACACUUGCCUGCAUGUGUCUUUGUGGCAGAAUGAUUUACAUUCCCCUAGGUAUAUACCCAAUAAUGGGAUUGUUGGGUCUAAUGAUUGUUCUGCUUUUAGCCCUUUGAGGAAUAACUAUACUGCUUUCCACAAUGGUUGAACUAAUUUACACUCCUACCAACAGUGUAUAAGUGUCCCCUUUUCUCUGCAACCUUGCCAGCAUCUGCUUUUUGACUUUUUUAAUAAUAGACUUUCUGACUGGUGUGAGAUGGUAUCUCAUUGUGGUUUUGGUUUACAUUUUUCUAAUGACCAGUGAUGCUGAGCUUUUUUUAAAACAUAUGAUUAUUGCCUGCAUAUCUUCUUUUGAGAAGUGACUGUUCAUAUCCUUUUCCCACAUUUUAAUGGGACUGUAUCUUUCUCUUGUAAAUUUAAGUUCCUUACAGAUGCUGAAUAUUAGACCUUUGUCAGAUGCACAGUUUGCAAAUAUUUUCUCCCAUUCUGUAGGCUGUUUACUCUAUUGAUAGUUUGUUUUGCUAUGCAAAAGCUCUAUGUUUAAUUAAAUUCCACUUCAAUUUUCGCUUUUGCUAUAAUUGAUUUUGGUGUUUUUGUCAUAAAAAUCUUUGCCCGUUCCUAUGUCCAGGAUGGUAUUGCCUAGGUUGUCUUCCAGGGAUUUUAUAGUUUUGGGUUUUACAGUAAAGUCUUUAAUUCAUCUUCCAUUGAUUUCUGUGUAUGAUGUAAGGAAGGGAUUCAGCUUCAGUCUUCUGCAUAUGGCUAGCUAGUUACCCCAGCACUAUUUAUUGAAUAUGGAGUCAUUUCCCCAUUGCUUGUUUUUGUCAGCUUUGUUGAAGAUCAGAUGUGCGGCUUUAUUUCUGGGCUCUCUAUUCUGUUCCAUUGGUCUAUGGGCCUGGUUUUGUACCAGUACCAUGCUGUUUUGGUUACCGUAGCCUGGUAGAUGGUUUGAAGCCAGGUAACUUACUGCCUCCAGCUUUGUUCUUUUUGCUUAGGAUUGCUUCAGCUAUUCAGGCUCUUUUUAGUUCCACGUAAGUUUUAAUUACUUUGUUUCCCCUAAUUCUGUGAAGAAUAUGGUUAGUAGUUUGAUAGGAGUAGCAUUGAAUCUACAAAUGGCUUUGGGCAGUAUAACCAUUUUAAUGAUGUUGAUUCACUCUAUCCAUAAGCUUGGGAUAAUUUUCCAUUUGUUUGUGUCUUCUCUGAUUUCUUUGAGCAGUGUUUUGUAAUUCUCACAUAGAGAUCUUUCAGCUCUCUCAUUAGCUGUAUUCCUAGUUAUUUUAUGCUUUUUGUGGCAGUUGUGAAUGGGAUUGCCUUUCUGAUUUGACUCUUGGUUUGGCUGUUGCUGGUGUAUAGGAAUGCUUGUGAUUUUUGUACACCAAUUUUGUAUACUGCAACUUUGCUGAAGUUGUUUAUCAGCUGGAGAAGUUUUUGGGAUGAGGGUUUUCUAGAUAUAGAAUCAUGUCAUCUGCAAACAGAUAUAGUUUGACUUCUUCCCUUCCUGUUUGGAUGACCUUUCUUUCUCUUGCCUGAUUGCUUUGGCUAGGACUUCCAAUACUAUGUUUAAUAGAAAUGGUGAGAGACAGCAUCAUUGUCUUGUGCCAGUUUUCCUCAAAGCUAGAUAGGCUAUGAAUCUAUAUUUUAGCCAGUAAGAAACAAGCAGAAAUCAUUUACAAAAACUUUGGAAUAACAUCCUUAAAAAAAGAAGCUAGUUGCCUCUCAUUUUCUCUUCCUCUCUCUAAAGCAAUAAAAGUGGAUUAAAUGCAAAUGACUAGUUUCCAUUUAGCAGAAUGAGGAUGAUACAGUGAGGUUUUGUGUAGGGACAGUUUAGAAGCAACUUGGUCUGUAGAUGUCUUAAUAUCUGAAACAUCUGCCUGAAUAUGAACUGAGAAAUAAUCUUUUCUCUUCUUUGUGCUAUGGUGAUUGUAUCUCUGUAUAACACUAUAGUAAUCUUUAUCCUACAACCCCAACUCCAGACAAGGAUAUCAUGACACAAUAAAGGUAUUAGCUAAUUUUACUUUUAUACAUAAAUCCAAAGGAACAAAUGAAAUGCAACCAAAGUGAAUCUUCUAAAAUAUAUUUAGAAAGUCAUAACCAAGUUCAAUUAUUCAAGGAAUAUAAAGAUGGUUUAACUUUAGGAUAGUACUUUACCAUAUUACUAGAUUAAAGGGAAGAGAAAAUUAUCAGCUCACUAGGUGCAGAAACAAAUAUUUCACUAAAGUUUUCAAAUUCAAGAUUAAAAUUAAAAAUAUAAACAAUUUUUCAGCCAUCUAGGAAUAGAGCAAAUUUUUAAAAUUGAAUAAGGUGCAUCUAUCAAAAACCCUACAACAAAAAAUGGAUAUAAAAAUGUUAGAAAUAUUAGCUUUAAGAGUUUGAAUAAAACAAAAUCCUUUUAUCAUAAAGGAUAUUAAAUAUCGCACUAAACAAAUCAGUCAGUGCAGCAACUCAAGAAAAACAAAUAAAGGUGUAACAAUGAAAUAGAAAAUACUCUUAUUCAUUGACAACAUAAUUAUUGACUUAGAAACUGAAACAAGUUAUUUUUUUAAAAAGAGUUAAAUAAGGAUAUUGAAUAUAAGAUUAUACAAAUAAAUGUGUUAAAUAAAAAUAAUGCAUAAAAAUUAGUAAUAAGUAUUUAGAAAAAUGUGCUUUAUAAUAAUUAAAUGUUCUAAAUUCUAUGUAUGUGUGUGUAUAAAAUAAAAGAAUUCCAGUAAAAAUGUUUAAGUUUUUGUGCGUAUCAGGGCAAACUUAUUCAAAAAUUUGUAUGAAAGAGUAAAAGGCCAAGUACAGUUAAAAUAUUUUGUAAUUAAAACAAUUGGGGGGUGUCGACUUGCCCUAUUAGAUGUUAAAUGUUAUGAUAAAUUUAUAAUAGGACUGUAAGUACAGUAUUGAUGUAGAGAUAAAUGAGCAGACAGAAGAGAAAAAGAGCCACAAAACAAACAUAUGUCUAUAGGGAAAUGUCAUUGGUGAAAAAAAUGUAAUUGAAUAUCACUGCAAAAAGGUCAGACUGAUUUAAAACCUACAGUUGGAAUGAUAUAUUAAACUAUAUAGAUUCCUAUCUCACACUAUACACAAAAGUACAUUACUGAGAAAAAUGAGAAUUUUAAAGCUUUAGUAAAAAAAUGAAAUUUUUUUUUAAUUUCCAAAAGGGGAUCAUUUUUUCUUAAAAAUAAAGUAUACAUAAUAAUUUAAAACAUUGAAAGUUUAGCUGUAUUUAAAUAAAAUUUUAUGCAUGUCAAAAAACAACAUAAACAAUAAAGAACAUGUCACAAAUGGGGAUAGUCAAAUUGCAAUGUUUAUAUUAUCAACAUAACCUAGUAGCCACACAUAUUACAAAUAUCUGUUAGUCAGAAAUGAGGUUGUCAAUAAGUAUAUAAAUGUUCAACCUCAUAGGUAAUCAUGGAAAUAUACAGAAAGCCACAGUGAAAUUCAAUUUCACAUAUAACAGAACGGCAAACAAAUAUUUAAGUGAAUGUGAAAAAACUAAAAUUUUAACCACUGACAGUGAGAGUGCAGUUUAGCACAAUGGUAUUUGAUAACUAAGUUGGUGAAUUCCUAAUAAAGUUGAAAAGCUGCACAUGCUUCAACUAAGUGAUUCCACUAUAGGUUUAUGUCUUAGAGAAACUCUUGAAUAUUUUCUCUUAUAGACAUGUACAAGAAUACUCAAUGCAGCACUAUUUGAAACCUCAAAGAAUUUCAAAAUAACUUAGACGUCAAAAUAACAUUUGUCAAAAUAGAUGAUAAAUGUUAGUAUAUGCAUAUUAGGGCAUUCUACAGCUAUGAAAAUAAAUUAUACAAAGCUCCAGGAAUAAUCAUAAUUGUAUAUUUCAGUAUAUAUUACCACAUGAAAAAUACUACUAUACAUUGCAUUAAUUUGUAUACAUAUAUAAUAAAGUGCAUAGGAAAAAAUGAAAUUUGUAAAUGCUAAUUCAAAUUUAAAAUGAUGAUUAACUCUGAUUGGAAGGGUGGAGAAUAUAAUUCAGGAGAAUAUAAUUCAGGAGAAUUAGAAAAAGUUUUUUUGAAAUAUUAUUUUCCUCUCUUUCUGCUUUUUUUUUU